GGUUAUUUUCCCCGGUUUAUUGGCUACAAAUAAAAUUAAAAAUAAAUAAAUUAUUUUAAAAAAAAAACAAUGUUUUCUUCAUAGUUCCUAUUUGACCUACUAAUUUCCCAUUUUACCCUUCUUCUUCAACCUCCUCCCUCCAAAGGCAAAAAGCUCACAUCCAUAAAGCACCAAUUUAAUUUAAUUUGAUUUAAAUUAUUUUAUUUUUCUGUUUUUCGAAUUAAAUGACGUGAUUUCUUUUUUGAUUCUUCAAACGCAUCCUUCAUUUGUGAAAAUGAAAAUUUUCUUUUCGUUCUUCCUGUUCAUUUGAUACCAUUUUUUUUUCAAAAUUCUGAUUCUUUUCGUAUCUUUUAUUUUCGAUGUGCGUGUCGCUUAUUCGUUGAUUUUUCGUUUUUUUUGUUCUGUUAUGAAGCUCAAUAGUGAUUGUUCUUUCAUUUCCUCUCACUUUCCUCUUGGAAUUCUUUUCAUCAAUGUCUGUUUUCCCUUCUAUCUUUAUUCCUAUUAUUUAAAUAAUGUUGUUGCUUGUUUUCGAUAUUAAUGAGAAUUUAUGGUUCUUUUUUUUUUUUUUAACUUCCUCGAUAUGCUAAUUGUUAGGCAGUGAUUUGCUGUAAUUUGAAAUUAAAACAGAGCUUAGAGCAUGGUUUUGAUGGGGAAACACGAUGAUGCACGCUCUGUUUUUCCUUUAACAAGUCUCCAGAUCGGGGACUUGCAGGCAUAUCUUUCGGAUCUUAGCCUUUACCUGGCCAUUGAAAGUAACAAAUUCUACAUUUUGGUGGACAACAGGCCAUGGCUGAGGGACUUGGAUUCACGGCCAGCUCACUUGUGGUGGCAAUUAAUGGUUACCAAGUCCAGGUUAUCUCCUUUUGCUAACACCAAAGGUCGUAGGGAGAAAAAAGAGGGGAAGGAAGCUUCUUCCGAAUCAAAUGCUAAAGAUUCGAAAAAGUUAGAGAGAUGGUUCUGUUCAAUUGAUGCUGCAAUGUUGUCUGAACAGAGGGUUUUGCUACCUGUUAAGAAACUGAGAACAUCUUUACUCCUUAGCAGUGAGUUGCAUCGGACAUUAUAUGGCUUCAUUGUAUUUGAAGUCACGUGGUCAAAUGUCCGAGGUAUUAACUACUUAAAUGAGCUUCAGACUGAUACCUCUCUGGCCAUAGAGGCUAAAUCCAUGCAAAGAUGGGAAUUUGACAGCAUCGAUCAAGCUGCAAAUUCUAUAUCUUCAUGGUUUUCUGGAACAUUGUUGGAGCUGUGUCAUUUAAAAGAGUACCUGGAUUCAACAACUGGAGAGGUCUUCCAUGACACUGAAGAAGAUUUUGAUGAGGAUAAUGAUGAUGGAAAUAUAUAUGAGGAUAGUUUCAGCACUGAAGAAAAUUUUCCGUAUGAUCAUUCUGGCACUUCCGAUUUAAGGGUUUACCCUUCUACUGGGGACUGCGAAACUUUUGAGCCACAAACUCCAAUUGGGCCUUAUAAGAGAAAAAAUGUGACCAAGGCAACUAGUACUGGAGUUGAAGUCGAUCUACAUUGUGGGGAAACCCAAAGGCAAACUGAAAACUCAUCCGACAACUCUACUGAAAAUGCAGUUGAAGCUACACUGUACAGGGAUGUUCUUCUUUUGUUUAGAUUUGAUGAUAGAGAUCUUCCAUUUAAAUUACAGCAAAUAAUAACUCCUGAUCUGAGGUUACUUCGUUUGUUAGAGGCUGGUCUUCCAUCCUGGGUCCUCUUUCUUCAAUCAUAUCCUGGCUUUUGCCAUAUCUAUCGGCCAUGGAUGUGCCCUCUGGCCAGAGCUCUAUAUGUUUUGAUUUCAGUCAUAACUGUUGUAAUUGGGUUUUAUGAUUUAUACAAAAAUGUCCCUGUUCUUAAGGCAACUGCUGCUCGUUUAUGUGGGCCACUUUUUGAUUGGAUAGAAACCUGGGAGAUGGUAUCAAGGAUCAAGUACUUGGGAACUAUGCUAUUUCUACAUAAUUGUCAGAAGGCUGUGAGGCUGUUUUUGACAUUUACGCGUGCUACUCGAUCAUUUUUCUCUUUUCUUUGUCUACCACUGGCAGAACCAUUUAUGGACUUUUUGGACUUCCUUUGGCCAAUUUGGAAUCUAUUCAGUGAGGUAGGUGAAAGCUUCUUUUCAGUCAUAUGGAUUGUGAUUUGUGCUCUCUACAAUCUAGUGGAGGAUCUCAUAGAGACUUUACUGAUGCCUAUCUGCUUUAUUGGCUUAGUUCUUCAAAAUCUCGCAACUUCCGUCCUGUGUCCUGUCUUUUGGAUUCUUUGGGAAAUAAUAUAUGCCCCAAUACGCCUGUUCCUUGGAUUCGCCAGAUUUGUGGCUUUUAUUUGUUUCUUCGUCUCUCGUUUGGUUGGAGAUAUAUGGCAAUCUUUUAGAAGCAUAAUUCAAUUUGCUUCUGCUACUGAAUCUGCAAUGAACAGUAAUGAGAUUUCCAUGUGGCGUUCACUUUGGAAUGACAUUUUUUCUCAGGUUUUUCGUGCUCUCAGAAGUAUAUUAAAUGGUUUUGUUGCCUUCUUUGCAGCCUGCAAUAGACAUCGCCUAAGCAUUUAUAAUCAUGCAAGGCAUUUUGUUCAAAGACCAUUUGGUGGAGCCACAACAUCACAAACCUCAGAUCCUAGACGUAGUAAGUCGGCACAUGGAAAUAUGAUGCACCCCCACUUAGAGAUAAGGAGGAGAGUCCAUGGUAAAUCUUGUCCUCCGGCAUUGUCAUUUUGAAAAGCCAUUUUGAGUUCGGAAAACGUAAGAAGCUAAUCCUUGUUCUGAUGAGAGCUAAUAUUCCGAUGCAAAAAUCUUUUAACAACCAAUAACAUGAAUAAUCGAAAGCUAACAUCAGCCAAUCUGAUAUCAACACUGAGAAAAAAAACCAUGGGAAAGGAGGGGAAAAGAAAAUACCACCCGUAUAGCUCUUUAGAGGUAUGGAAGGCACUGACUGAUUGCAGUAAUCUUUGAGAGCUGACCCCAUUCCUGCAACUAUUGAUAUACCCCGAAAAGAUUCCACCAUAUGCUCGACAAAAGGUCUGCAUUCAAUCAACGGACUAACUGAAGCACCAAAAGUAUCAUUCACUGCCUGUAACAUGGAAUUGUGAUCAGGUGGCUCAAUUGGCUCCAAAUGAGAGAGGUAAUCCUUCUGAAGAUUCUUUCUGACUUUCUCUGAAGCAAUGAACGAUGUUUCGAGGCUUGAAGUCCCUAAAGGAUCACACAAUGGUUGAGUACCACUUCCGAGAGCAUUUUGCGAUACUUUAUCAACUUCAGCAUCUGCGAUAACACUAGGCAUCAUACUUGAGCUUAAAAGGGACGAAGCAAAGGAAACAUCUCUAAGUUGUCUCAACUCUUCUUUAAGUAUCUGUGCCGGAGAGAAUUCAAUCCUCCAAGAACCCUCCCGAUAUAUGAAAAACUCGAAAAAACCCGUACUGGACAGCAUCAUAAAACAAGUACUAGAAGAAGAAAAAAAAAAAAAAAGACGCAACCAACGAUACCUACAUCCAUUUGGUAAAUUCCCAGUAACAGACAUCUCGUGAGUGAUAAUAUCUGAUAGGCCACCACACCGGAGUCUCAUUGUCGAUGGUCUUUCGUCUAUCUCCAAAGACCUUGGCCGUGAACUCGUAGGACUCUCGAACUGCAAGAAACCACAGGCUCCAUGUCCCUAUAUAAAGAGAAUCAACCCUUUUAUCAGUAAAUGUUUUUAACACUCGCAUCCGAACCCGAGUAACAGAUCGAUCUUGGUUUAAGUAUAGCAAUUGAAUUUCACAAUUUCUAUUCA